CGGGAAGGAAAUUUCUGGAAGCUUCUGUUCUGCGGCGCUCCAGAGCGAGCGGAGGGCUGAGGACUGCGCAGACGGUGCACGGGCACGGCUCCUCGGUCCGGUUCGUCUCCCUCACCGACCAGCAAUGAAGAUGGCAGCUCUGCCGGGAAGUGCUGAGGACACAGCCAGCCUUGAGCUUGGUCCUUCUGGCCGAGGAAGUCUCCCGAUUAUGCAGUGGAGUGGUACAGUGGAGAUGAAGGAUUUUCUCCUGCAGCCAUGCACAAGAUGUGUCUUCCUCUGGAAGCUGGUUUCACAUGGUGGCUUAGAUUUUCCCACUUUGUAUCUAGCACCAUUUGAAAUCAGUGUUCUAGGAGCAAGAAUUACAGCGUGGGAGGAGACCAAGCACCUGCUCACUUCAGCAACAUCCUCUGCUCCUCAAAGCAGCCCCUUUCCCAAAGGUCUUUUUUUGUUUUGUUUUUUGUUUUGUUUUGCCAGCCAUCCACUUUGUAACAUCAUCUGAUUUCUAGAGACUUCUCCAAGCACUGUAUGCACCCUCCCAAGCCAGGGCCACAGCAGCACAGCCUCCUGCUCGGGUAUUUCUGCCCAAUAAACAGUGGAUAUGAGUUCAA